UUGCUGUUAGGGUUUUCGGUGUUUGGGGAAAAUCUUGGGCUGAGUUGGGUUCUGGGCUAGGCUAGAGUUUGGGUUUUGGUAUAUUUUGGGGUUAGAGUCUGUAUUUUUUUUUAAAUUGAUCUGGGCCAAUUGUAAAUGGACUGUUUUUUUGGACUGAAUUUGAUUUAUUAUUUUUUCUUUCUUUUUUCUGCUUAUUCUGAAUGGGCCCCGUGCAAAUUGGGCCUAUUACAGCUACCCCUCUUUGCUCAUUGUCGUGUAACGAGAAUAGAGCAAAAACUAAAGAGGACC
rnacentral:lncRNA from 1 species